UCUGCCCGUCCCUUUUCUCUCUCUAUCUCCCGAACCCUCCCUCACGAAUACUCCCCUCUCACGAACCCCUCUUCUCUCCCUAGGCAUCCCCUCUCUCUCGAUCUCAAGAUGACUCCCCUCUCUCACGCCAUAAUCUGCGUCCAUUUUAGGUUUUGGAGAAACAUAGGAUUGAUUAGUCGCUUGAACACACUAGCCUAUUUAUUGAGAAGCUGAAGAAAGUGUUGGAGGGAUGCCUAUGUUCUUCAUAAAAGGGUGAAGAAGCUCCUAGUAAAAAUCUUGCAGUUUGAUAAAUUUGAAAGCCUACUAACAGAUUUUCAGCCCCAAAGAAAUCACCAAAGAAUAAACUGAUGUAUCGACUCACUAAUAGAAAGUUUCCCUAUGCAGGUAAGUUGUGUACACGUCCCUUUUUAUAUUCAAGUCAUUCCCUUGAUUUAUGCAAAACUAGGCUACCCAAAACUUAUGGACAACUCCCAUUGCCUUUGAACUGCUAUAACUAGCAUGUGUGGAUUGGUAGAAGUACGAAUGUACUUGCCCAAAAUGUUUCUGAGGUGUCUAGUUCUCUACAUGAAGUAAAAUUUUUUGAGGGAGUAUUGAAGCUCUCUGGAUAUUUAUUUGGUCAUUCUAAUACUUUCUCCCCAAAGGUAUGCAUGAUUCACAUCCAAACACAACCCAUUACUAGGUUGCAUUUGGAUGCAAUAUUCAUAAACUUCAUAAUUUUAUUCUUUUCAUAUGCGCAAUUAUAUCUAUUGAUAUUUUCUUUUGAAACCUAGAACCCAAGAUUUUAAGGAUUCAUCCUGUUUUGUCAAUAAUAUAUGUGACAACUCUACAUAAUACUGCUACUCAAGCCACGUGCACCUCCCAGAACCGCAUUCAUAAUAUCUCUGCAUUCACCAUCAUGAUUUUCUCAUGCUCUUAACCAUUGCAUGUCUUUAAGCAGGUAAUGAGUUUUAUUUACAAGCGCAAUUGCAAUAUUCUUUACAGUCCAUACAUGUGCUCUAACUAGGACUAGUGUUUUGAUGCAACCAGAAGCAGAUAGAACAGACUUCGAAAAUCUCCUUGAUCGAAAGAUUCUAGCCACCCAACUUGGGAUUUUCUCCAUUGAAUGUGGACCAUUACCUUGCUUCUCAUAUUAACCAUCUAUUUGCAGGCCGAGAAUUGAAAGGAUGGGACUGAUCUAUCACACAAAUUUUAUUUAUUUAUUUAUUUUUAAUAGAGUUGCCCAGUUGAAACAUUUUAGUAUUGUCCAUGUCAUCAAAAUUAUGGUACAACAUCUUUCUGCAUAAGAG